rnacentral:lncRNA from 1 species
ACCAUAACCAGUGGAAUUGUUGGACACUGCAGCAGCCCCAGCCCCUUGCUCCUACGUCUCUAUCCAUGGGGAAGAUGGGAUCGCUCGCUCUUUUGGAAAAUAACCUCACUUUGACAAGUCUAUUCCUGACAGUGAUUUCUCAGAGACCAAAAGCAAGAAUAAAGGGAAGAAAGAGGUUGGUAUCAGGUAAGCUUUGGGUGGCACUUAGGUGAAAAAUAAUAGCUCUUUUGACUACAGACCUACCUCUCAUUUCAACCCCCCACUCCUGCCUUAAUGCCCAUGAGCUUAGCAGAGUUUUUAAAGAAAGGAUAAGAAUGUCUGUUAGAAGAAGUGUAGAUUAGACCCUUUUUUUUCUCUCCCCGAUAAAGAAGGGUAGGUAGAGCUCUUGCCUAGAAGACUUGAAGGUUGCAAGGGAUGAAGUAGCAGCCUGCCUUAGGGAAGUGGAAUAUAUUAUUGUGCAGUUUGUGUUCUUAUGUUCUUUCUAUACAGAUAACUUAAACUAACAAAAUGAACAUUGAAGGACAUAGUGUGGAAGAAGGAGCCCUGCCAGGAAACACAUUGGAGCAAGUGUGUUUUAUUCUGGUAGCAGAAAGGACACAAUGGCACUGGGACCCUUCAAUCCAAGGACAGCAUCUCUAGAGGAGACCUUUGCUGUCCUUAGGCUGCAGAUAGGAUACAGUUCAAGAACAGUGUUUUAUUAGUGGCGUUUGGUCAUUGGAAAGGACCCGGAAGUGUUGAGUGGUAAGUGCUUGCCUAGGAUGUG